rnacentral:rRNA from 1 species
UACGAAGGGAGCUAGCGUUACUCGGAAUUAUUGGGCGUAAAGCGUGCGAAGGCGGUUUAUAAGUUAGAAGAUGAAGCCUGGGCUCAACCCUAGAAUUGCUUUAAUACUGUAGAACUAGAGUACUAGAUGGGAUAGCGGAAUUCCUAGUGUAGAGGUAAAAUUCGUAGAUAUUAGGAGGAACACCGGUGGCGAAAGCGGCUAUCUGGCUGGUUACUGACGCUGUUGCACGAAAGCGUGGGAGCAACAGG